GUUUCUGUAGUGUUGUGGUUAUCACUUUAGCCUCACAUGACAAAGGUCCCUGGUUCAAAACCAGGCAGAAACA